UACGUAGGGUGCGAGCGUUAAUCGGAAUUACUGGGCGUAAAGUGUGCGCAGGCGGCAGAGCAAGUCGAGUGUGAAAGCCCCGGGCUUAACUUGGGAAUUGCGCUCGAAACUACUUUGCUGGAGUGUGGCAGAGGAAGGUGGAAUUCCACGUGUAGCGGUGAAAUGCGUAGAGAUGUGGAGGAACACCAAUGGCGAAGGCAGCCUU
rnacentral:rRNA from 1 species